rnacentral:rRNA from 1 species
GGUGAUAGCCCCGUUGGGGGCGGAGGUGCCGAAGGCCGCUACCGUCUUCCGAGAGUCGGGUUGUUUGAGAUUGCAGCCCAAAUGGGGUGGUAAACUCCAUCUAAAGCCAAACAGCGGCACGAGACCGAUAGCGAACAAGUACCAUGAGGGAAAGGUGAAAAGCACUUUGGAAAGAGAGUUAAAGAGACCGCGAAACCGUUAGGAGGGAAACGCAUGCAGCCGAACAGGCCCUCGUCGGGUUCAGGGGGUCUCGGGGUUCCGGUCGAGGCGGGCGUCACCCAGUCGGGGUCGUCGACUCGGACGGUUCCCCUUGCCCCUGCACUCCCGGCGGUGUGGGCCGGCCAAGGGCGGUGGUGUCCGCGGCGAAGAGGACGGUCGGGCAGGUGGUGCAGCCGGCCCUCGGGUCGGAGGCGAGCUUA